rnacentral:lncRNA from 10 species
ACACAACCCUGUGCACACCCCACCCCUGCACACGCACACCCCUGCACAUUCACAUCCCACCCCUGCACACACCCUCAUCCUUGCACACACACCCCCACCUCUGCACACACACACACCCCACACCCUGCACACACCCCACAACCCUGCACGAGCAACCCCACCCCUGCACGCACACCCCCUGCACCUGCUCAUUCUGAUUCUGUAAACAUGGCUAAGGGCCCAGGAACCUGCACUGGCAGAACCACUCUCUUCAUCCAGCAUUUUUUUGAGAUGGAAUCUCGCUCCGUCACCCAGGCUGGAGUGCAGUGGCAUGAUUUCAGCUCACUGCAACCUCCGUCUCCCAGGUUCAAGUAAUUCUCCUGUCUCGGCCUCCUGAGUAGCUGGGAUUACAGAUGUGCGCCACCACACCCAGCUAAUUUUAGUAGAGACGAGGUUUCACCAUGUUGGCCAGGCUGGUUUCCAACCCCGACCUCAGGUGAUCCGCCCACUCAGCCUCCCAAAGUGCUGGGAUUACAGGCGUGAGCUGCUGCGCCCAGCCCAGCCUCUUUUGGUAAAUGGGGAGGCAGGGUCUGCAUCGGCGUGGCCCCCAGGCUCCCUCCCACUGUGGGCAGCAGAACCAGGCCGACCACAGGGACAGACGUGGUCCAGGCGUGAGCUGCCCAGCACCAGGUCCUCCUAGGUGGAGCUUGGGGCUCAGUGCCUUCCCAUAUGGGCCUCCAAGGGUUCGUCUUGAGAUGCACACAGGGCAGGACAGGACCCCCCACGCUGCUGCUGCCCCACCCUGGAGGGCCCUGGGGGUGAGGGGACUGCCCUCACAGCCCCCACAGGCUCUGUAGUUCUCCCUCAGCUUCCGUUAGGAAGUGGGAAGCCACUGGGCCCAGGUCACUUCCAGAUCUGACUUGGCAGGGAGAAGGCUGGGUGGAGGUGGCCACAGCAUCGGAGGUGCAGGCAGGGUCCCUGGGAGCUGCUGGGAGGCUUCACUACCCACUAGCCAAGCCUUGGCUGGAGGCCCUGAGUCGAGGAGCAGGGGGCUCCGGGGUCCAUGCCCUUCCAUGGAGCAGCAGCCCCUGCAGGCGGCUCUGAAGCCUCCAGAAGGGACGCGUCCUGAUCUUCCAGGAUGCACUUAUCAAUAAUCGUUCUGUCUGUUCCCCUCCCAGCCUGGCUGCUGAUCAUCCAGGAUCCACUUAUCAAUAAUCAUCCUGUCUGUUCCCCUCCCAGCCUGGCGUUUUCCGUCUGGGAUUGGAGACUCGGGGGGUCCCUGGUGGGCUGCAAGGGUAUUAGGCCUAAUUUUAUUAACAGUAUUUGUAGGGUCCUACAGGGUCUGUAGGUUUUUCUCCUCGUGUACGGAGACGAGCGAUCAUAGAAAUAAAGACACAAGACAAAGAGAAGAAAAGACAGCUGGGCCCAGGGGACCACUACCACCUGGACGCGGAGACCGGUAGUGGCCCCGAAUGCCUGGCUGCACUGUUAUUUAUUGGAUACGAGGCAAAAGGGGCAGGGUCAGGAGUGUGAGCCAUCUCCAGUGAUUGAUAAGGUCACGCGAGUCACGUGUCCACUGGACAGGGGGCCCUUCCCUGUUUGGCAGCCGAGGCGGAGAGAGAGAGAGGACAGCUUACGCCAUUAUUUCUUCUAUGCAUUUCAAAGACUUUAGUACUUUCACUAAUUCUGCUACUGCUGUCUAGAAGGCAGAGCCAGGCGUACUGGGUGGAACAUGAAGGCGGACUGGGAGCGUGACCGCUGAAACACAGCAUCACAGGGAGACGGUUAGGCCUCCGGAGGGCUGCGGGGGGGGGUUGACUGAUGUCAGAUCUUCCACAAGAGAUGGUGGAGCAGAGUCUUUUCUAACGCGCCCCCGGGGAAAGGGAGAUUCCCUUUCCGGCUCUGCUAAGUAACGGGUGCCUUCCCCAGGCACUGACGUGACCGCUAGACCAAGGAGCCCUCUAGUGGCCCUGUCCGGGCGUAACGGGGGCUCACGCUCAUCUUGUGGUCGCUUCUCACGGUGCCCCUUCAGCUCCUGUCUCUGUAUGGCCUGGUUUGUCCUAGGUUAUAAUUGUAGAGCAAGGAUUAUUAUAAUAUUGGAAUAAAGAGUAAUGCCACAAACUGAUGAUUAGUAACAUAUAUUAUCUAUAAUCUAUUUCUAGUAUAACUAUUCUUAUAUUUUUUUUUAUUAUACUGGAGCAUCUCACGCCCUCGGUCUCUUGCCUUGGCACCUGGGUGGCUUGCCGCCCACAAGUAUUUUCUCAUGAGAAGAGCUUUAAUCCUAGUCUGAAAAUAAUCCUAACUGCAUUAAAUUCACACCAAAGUGUCCAGAAAGACGGCACCUUAACUGGCAUCCCAGGAAUGCACCUGCUUCCCAGAGUCCUUCCCACGAGCCGGUCAUUGUUCACGCAUCCUGAGUUCCAGCCUCAGGCUGGAAACAGACCUUUCCAGAGGAGGUUGGGAAGGAGCGCACCCAACCCUAGAGAGCUGGGAAUUCCGGCAAGAGGUGACAUGGAGCACCAGAGCGUGGGGUUGGUGACACAGCGUUUCGGGGACCGACCCUACCUCCGUGACAGCUGGUCCUCC